GAGUUUGAUCAUGGCUCAGAUUGAACGCUGGCGGCAGGCCUAACACAUGCAAGUCGAGCGGAUGAAGGGAGCUUGCUCUCUGAUUCAGCGGCGGACGGGUGAGUAAUGCCUAGGAAUCUAAAUAAAAAUGGGGGACAACGUCUCGAAAGGGACGCUAAUACCGCAUACGUCCUACGGGAGAAAGCAGGGGACCUUCGGGCCAUGCGCUAUCAGAUGAGCCUAGGUCGGAUUAGCUAGUUGGUGAGGUAAUGGCUCACCAAGGCGACGAUCCGUAACUGGUCUGAGAGGAUGAUCCAGUCACACUGGAACUGAGACACGGUCCAGACUCCUACGGGAGGCAGCAGUGGGGAAUAUUGGACAAUGGGCGAAAGCCUGAUCCAGCCAUGCCGCGUGUGUGAAGAAGGUCUUCGGAUUGUAAAGCACUUUAAGGGGGGAGGAAGGGUUGUAGAUUAAUACUCUGCAAUUUUG
rnacentral:rRNA from 1 species